rnacentral:lncRNA from 1 species
UUAUCAUAUCUUGCAAAAUGGUAUUGUUUUGUACAGUUCUGAUUUAUUUAUCUUAAUCAUGGAUGCCUUUUUGAAAAGCUUGAUAGUGUUUUUAAGGAUCCUCCUCUUUAAAUUAGCAGACCAGGGAGUUACUUAAGAAGCCGACGUUCCUCUGCCUCCAGAAGUUGGAGAUUUACAAAAGACCUUCAAAAUCAGAGUAGCCGUAGGCAUGAGAAUGGACAACACACCAUUAUUAUAGAAUAUGACGUGUUUUAUUAGGAAACUGCUCACAGGAAAUCUGCUCAGACUACAGGACAGCUCCAAAGUGACAGCAAUAACCCAUCCCAGGCAAGACAAUGCAGUACACUGUAUUAUACAGCAUCGGGAGGCAACAGAUCGGCAGAGCACAGGAGAUCUCCAGGCUUCCAUCUGCAUAAUAAACUUCCUUGCCUGAAUACAAAAGAGUUCUUGGCUUCAAUGCUGGUUGUGUUGCUGACCUCCAGUGGUUGCUCCUUCCUUGAUGGCACGAAGGACAUGCACAGAACCUGCAGUGUCAAUGAACUUGCAACCACGAUUAACGGAAGGUUUCGCGUCUUUCAAGAAAGACUUUGCAUUUCUGAUCCCAUUCUGCCAACUGUUGUUUGUCCUCUGGCUCUUGGCUGA